CCUACGGGAGGCAGCAGUGGGGAAUAUUGGUCAAUGGGCGCGAGCCUGACCCAGCAACGUCGCGUGAAGGAAGAAGGCUCUCGGGUUGUUAACCUCCUUUUAUAAAGAAGAGCAGAAAACGAUACCUCUUGAUUAAUCCACGCCUAACUACGUGCCAGCGGCCGCGGUCAUACGUAGGUGGCAAGCGUUGUCCGGAUUUACUGGGUGUAAAGGGCGUGCAGCUGGGAAGACAAGUCAGAUGUGAAAUCCGGCGGCUCAACCGCGGAACUGCAUUUGAAACUGGUUUUCUUGAGUACCGGAGAGGUAAGCGGAAUUCGUGGUGUAGCGGUGAAAUGCGUAGAUAUAAGGAAGAACACCGGUGGCGAAGGCAGAUGACUGGACUGCAACUGACGGUGAGGCGCGAAAGCGUGGGGAGCAAACAGGAUUAGAUACCCGAGUAGUC
rnacentral:rRNA from 1 species